rnacentral:lncRNA from 1 species
GAACAUUCAUCCAAUAUAUCAUCAAGCACAUAAGCAGCAUCACGCAGUUGCUGUAGCCACUCUUUGACAGCAUCGUUUGUUAUUUGCUUCUUUUCAGCAUCUUUUAGGACAGCACGGAUUAAAGUGAGCUUUCUAGAUAGGCUUUGGGUCAAUUCUCCAACACCCAAAUAGGUAGCAAGCUCCUCUUGUACAAAUGAUCCGAGGUUUUGAAUCAAGAUUCCAAGUAAAGCAUCAGCCAUUUUCAGAUGUGAGAACAGAAAUGAAUCAAAGUUGUUUGGAUUGGAGAUGAUUUUGCUCUAGGAAGAUGAAAUAUGAGUUGUUAUUUGUUUUCAAAGAUUAUAUAUUAAAUCAGUGGAUGUAGUUCUUCUGCAACAUGUCAAAAUUGGCUGCUAUAGAAAAAUAAAUAAUUAGUGAAUGACAGUGGGAAAAAACAAGUGUUGAAGGCACAUGGCCAUGAAAGGGAAAAAAACAAAAUUGGAAAACUUAUCUUAUGAAACAACAUCAUGCUCGUUCAUUUGUUCUUGUGUGGCCUAGAUUUCAUCAAAGAAAAUCCAAUACCAAAUAAUUGUAAUACUAAUUAUUAUUUAAUAUUUCAAGUUGGCAGUGUACCUGAAGUGCAAGUGGAUCAAGUAUGGUGGGAUGGCAUCAAGUUGGCAAGUGACACAUGAUUGACGGUGGUUGUGUUUUGUUUUUGAGAAGAAGAAGAAGAGUCUGCUACGAGAGUAGCACUGAACGUGUUCUAUUUUUGUUCCUUUCUAUUAUUUUAUUUGAUUUUUGUUUUUAAAAAAAGAAGUGACACAUGGUGCAAUAUUACUGGCUAUGUCAUGUGACAUAGCCCACCACAAUGUUACGGAAGUGCAAUCCCUUAAAAUAUGGUUCAUUUUAUUCUAUUCGUGUAUCUGUUAAGAUAGUUGUCAUGUACUAAUCAUGAUAAAUAUUAUUUCUGGAUACCGUGCAUACAUAAUUUAGAUCAUCCUUAAUUAUAUGUGUAACCCACGAUGCGGGAUAAAUACACUAGUAAAUAAAUAUAUAUAAACAGUAAAAUUGAAGACAACAGCGCACAUCUGAGCGUUACACAUCUAUAUCUUCAAUUAUGUUGUCAAAAUCUUGUUUCACGACGAAGUCAAACAUAAUAUCCGAAUAUUGCGUCGAUGCUGGCUUUUUAUCCUCUGCACACAUUGUUCAAUAUAAGUAUAAAAUCACACCAUAUUUGAUAUAGUAAAAAAAGUGAAAGGAAUAAAAUAAAGAGAUUCAUUCAAUUAAAUUACCACUAAUUGUUGGUUCUGCAUCAGAUUGCAAUUUGUAAUUCAAUUCAACUUCAGGAAUGUGAGCUAUCUUAUGCCAAUCUUCACCUAUACCUCUCUUGCAUCUCUUCUCCAACUUAGGGCAACCACAAAUUCUUAACUUUUGCAAGUUUUGGAGUUGCUGAAAGUUGUCUGGCAGUGAACUUAACUUUGAAGAGGAGCUAAAUAGUGGACUGAUUUCUAAUACUUGAAGAGAAGUCAUGGCACCCAAACAGUCUGGCAAGGAUGUUCGUGAAUGAAAAUCAAACAGACACAAUCUUUUCAGUGAGGGGAUGCCUUCUAUGCCAUCUAGUAUGUUUUCAUUACAAUCCGAGAGUCGCAGUUCACGGAGGGAAGUUAGACUGUUCAUGUUAUGUGGAAAAACAAUUUGUUUACAGAAAAGGAUUUUAAGAGUCUCGAGACAAGUUAGGUGUUUGAUACCCUCAGACAGGGAUUUGAAUUUAUUGCAGCUAGAAACAUACAAAUUUCGAAGAGAACUCAAACCUUGCAACAAGUGCUCUGAAAAUGACUCCAAUUCAUCACAUAAAUCAAUUCUAAGAAAUUCUAAUGCACUAAGAGUACUGAGUUCAACAGGUAAUUCCUUGAGUUCUUUAAAGCCUGAUAUCCAAAGUGACUUAAGAUUGUUACCAGCAAUUCCCCGUGAAGCUACAUCUUCAUUGCAAUUGUUGUAAAAAAUGGACUUCAAUAAUUCUUCAUUUCCUCGACUAGCAUAAAGUGACUCCAUAGAUGGAAGGGACUGCAAUGCAAGUUUAGGGACAUCUGUUAUAGCUAACUUCAAAAGCUGUUGUAGCAUCUCUACUCCUUCGACUUUCAACACCCUCUCUAAAUUUGGUAAGUCAGCCAAAGUAAAUUUUUUCAGUGACGUAAAAGCCUUCUCAGUCGUAGGUUCAUACAAACUAUCAUCAAUGUACUUUAAAUCUCUCAUUCUAGAUACAGAAAGGAAAGUUAAGCAUGGUAAUUUACCAAAUGGAGGAAUCUGCCUGCAGUUUUUACAGUCAUAGAGAAUAAUACUAACUAGACCUUUUAGAAUAGAAGUAUUUCUCAUCCAAUGAGGAAAAUGUGCUCCCAUAUAACCCUGCAACCCAAAACUCUUUAGACCUGAAUGAGGCUCAAGAGUUUCUAUUACUUGCUCAGCAUGAAUACUACUAACUUGUGAAUUAGUAUAAUCACCCCAUGACAAAUAUAAGCGAUUUAAGUCCUUCUUGCCAAUCAAAUUAGCUUUUCUUGCAUCCUCUUCAAUCGACACUUUCUGAAGGCCUUUAAUGUGUAGCUUUCCUCCUAAUUGUAAGUUGUGUAGCUCUGCUAAACCAAACCCAGUUUUUGAACCAACAAUGAAAAUGGUCAAUGUUUUCAGACAAGUUAACUCCCCAAUUUUAAAAGGAGUUGAUUUCAAUGAACUGCAAUUUUUAAUCAUGAGAUGUCGAAGGUCCUUCAAUUUUGUAAAUUGUUUGGGAAAAUCAGAUAGAUGAUGACAUUUUUCAAGUUUUAGUGUUUGCAAUUUCUGUAGUCUGCAAACAGAACCAGGCAAGGUAAUGAAGUCACAAGAUGAAAGUUCCAAGUACCUCAAAUGCAUUAAAUUUGAUGAUGAGAGUCGAUGAGACUUUGUAUGUAAAGCUCGAAGCGAAGUGGUUGAUAGAAACACAUCUAGAUUCUUUGAGGGUGGUUUAUACUCAAGAAAGGUUCGCAAGGAAUCAAAUUUUUGGAAGGGAAUCAUGUAGUCAUAUCUGAAUUUUUUAUCAAAGAGACUUAUAUGGUGAACUCUAAUUGACAAAUUUGUUAAAUUUGAAGCAUCUGAAGAAAUACAUUCAUCUCCCAUAAUAGACACUGCUAAAUCAUGGACAAAAUCAUGCAUUUUGAAAGUAAUGUUACCUACAAAAUCUGAUUUAACUUCUUCAAAUAAUGACCUUUGGUAUAAUUCAUUCCAUACCUCAUUACCAACAUGCUCCAUCUGUAAGUUUCCUCUAGAUGUAACAAGUCCAUUAGCCAUCCAAAGUUGAAUGAGAUUUUCCUUCACCAUUUCAUAAUCUUUGGGAAAAACAGCACAGAAAGUAAAACAUGGCCUCAAUGACAAUUUCAAGUUAAAAUAGCUUAGUCUCAAAGCAGACAUGAUAGGAUCAACCUCAGGUAAACUCCAAAACUCACUUUCUAGUACAGAAAUCCAUUGAUGUUCGUCACUUGUAAAGCACAAACUGCUUCCUAAUACUUUAGCAGCAAGAGGUGAACCCACACAUUUUCUCACUAACUUUUUGCCUAUUGCCACAAGCUCUGCACGCUCUUCUCUAUUUGCUACAAAAGCUUGUUGUUUGAACAAAGACCAGAUGUCAUCAUCAGAUAAGCUUGCUAAAUGAUGAGCAUCAGAAGUUCCCAUGAUGGAUGCAACAAUGUCAAGUCUGGUAGUGACCAAAAUUGAUGCACCUUUCUUUCCAUGUUGCAACGAAGACUUGAACUUAUUCCAUUUCUCUUGGUCUUCACUCCACACAUCAUCAAGAACAAGCAAAUACCUUUUGUUUUGCAAAAUUUCUUGAACCUUUUUUCGCAUUGACUCUAAAGAGGAGAGAUUUGGAUUUUUUCCAAUGGUGUCUUCUAUGAUGGACUCUAAAACCUUCAUCAUACUGAAAUCAUCAGAAACACACACCCAUAUUUUCAAGUCAAAAUGUGUCUUUACACUUUCAUCAUUGAAGACCAUUUGAGCAAGUGUUGUUUUUCCAUAUCCACCGUGGCCAACAAUGGAAUAGACAGAGAGUUCUUCACUCUCACUGGCGUGCCUUAGCAGAAACUCUACAAUCUGUUCUUUAUCUUUGUCUCUUCCAUAUACUUUCGGUUCGGUGACAGCAGAAGUAGUUUGGCGCCAUUCAUCAUCUCGUCGUUGGCGCUCCUCCGUGACUGCAAAUUGUUGUAAUCCGAACUUCAUCCUUUCUUCAGCAAUAUCAUCGAUCUUUUUAGCAACCUCCUUCAUCCUCUUUCCAAUGUUGCGACGAGCCAAAAUCUUCAUAGGAUGGAAACGAGUGAUCCGCUUGUUGUCGCCAUGUGCUCUUAAGGUUAUUGAACAUUCAUCCAAUAUAUCAUCAAUCACAUAAGCAGCAUCAAUCAGUUGCUGUAGCCACUCUUUGACAGCAUCGUUUGUUAUUUGCUUCUUUUCUGCAUCUUUUAGGACAGCACGGAUUAAAGUGAGCUUUCUAGAUAGGCUUUGGGUCAAUUCUCCAACACCCAAAUAGGUAGCAAACUCCUCUUGUACAAAUGAUCCGAGGUUUUGAAUCAAGAUUCCAAGUAAAGCAUCAGCCAUUUUCAGAUGUGAGAACAGAAAUGAAUCAAAGUUGUUUGGAUUGGAGAUGAUUUUGCUCUAGGAAGAUGAAAUAUGAGUUGUUAUUUGUUUUCAAAGAUUAUAUAUUAAAUCAG